GGGAAAAUAAGUAAUUGCGUUGGCGCUACUUUUCUUAGACAUGUACAAUUUGCAGAAGUUCGUCCUAGUACUUCUCCUGAUCGGGGCCGUUUUCGGAUUUCCUGAACCUGACAAGGUACGCAUACACGUACCCGCCAAGAUAAAGACGAUAUACAAGACUAAGAUAAUAAAAGUACCCGAGCACCAUCAUCAUUACCACGAGAAGUUGAAGGAGGUGCCGAAGUAUGUUGCCAUCUCGAAGGACCACCACGA